rnacentral:lncRNA from 1 species
UGCCAUUUUCCCAUCUUAGGCUCCAGAAGCAGAAUCAAGUGGGAUGUCUUGGAAGAAAAACAAACAAAAGGCCCACUAGGUGGAGUGAAAUGGAUCAGGAGCAAUUAUGUUCAAUUUCACCUUUAAGUUUUCUCAAAAGGAGGAGGAUUAAGAAUCAGCCACCUUAGUACAUACUUAAAGAUUUACUGAAACCUGAUCCUGUCCCUGCUGAUGAAACGUCAGAGGAAUGGGAUCCUGUAGGUGAAGAUCAUCAGCUUAUAAAAUCCUGUUGCCAUCAAUGGGGGUAGCAGGAAAAUGAUGAAGAUUGGUUAAGGGGCCAGUGGACUCAGCAUUGAAAUGAAUCAUGGACUUGAAGCCAAAAGACUCAGUUUGUGUCCCAGCUCUCUCAAGCAAAGCCCCCAAGUCCCAGUUUCCUCAUCUAUAAAAAAUAAUAAAAAUACUUCAUGGACAAA